AGUUAAAAGUUUCAUCCAUUUGUACUGUUAAGAAUUGACUUGGUUGAUAUGCCAGGUGUAUCUCAUGUUCACAUAUAGAUAUUAGCUUUUAACAGUAGAAUUGGAUAGAAUUUUUAACA
rfam:Gossypium hirsutum cultivar TM-1 chromosome 20, whole genome shotgun sequence